GUAGGUGGCAAGCGUUGUCCGGAAUUAUUGGGCGUAAAGCGCGCGCAGGCGGGUUCUUUAAGUCUGAUGUGAAAGCCCACGGGCUCAACCGUGGAGGGUCAUUGGAAACUGGAGAACUUGAGUACAGAAGAGGAAAGCGGAAUUCCACGUGUAGCGGUGAAAUGCGUAGAGAUGUGGAGGAACACCAGUGGCGAAGGCGGCUUUCUGGUCUGUAACUGACGCUGAGGCGCGAAAGCGUGGGGAGCAAACAGGAUUAGAUACCCUGGUAGUCCACGCCGUAAACGUUGAGUGCUAAGUGUUAGGGGGGUUUCCGCCCCUUAGUGCUGCAGCUAACGCAUUAAGCACUCCGCCUGGGGAGUACGGCCGCAAAGGCUG
rnacentral:rRNA from 1 species